CUUCACGCGGAGGGAUAAUUGAGGAGUAGGCUAUGUGUGAGCGUUGUUUGGAGAAGACCAUGUUCUAGUUGCUGUCUCCCAUGAGAUAAUAUUUGAUAAUUUGUAGGAUGUGCUUUGAGUCAAAUAUGCGAGGAAUUACCAAAGCAUCAGAUGUCCAAACGUCAUAUGUAUGUUGUUAAAUAUAUGAAACAGCAUUACUAUUGCAGUGAGAGGAUAAUGCGGUGACAGCCACUGUCCACACUGGCACUUGAGGAAAUCUGAAAGGAGUGCGAAGACAGGCCUACCGAAUAGGAGCGCACGCUCAGGUAGUUUACCUGUUCGCGUGCGUAUAGCUCCCUGCAUGUAUCCAGAGGCACAGCGGAUAGGUAGCCUACCUCUACUGUUAAUAUUUACGGAAUUACAUAUUUGAUACCGGAGUACGGAGGGCAACAAGAAAUCCACGAUUUCGUUGAGCAAUUCAUUUGGUUUUUGGGCUGUCCCCUGGCGUCCACACAUCCCAGAGAAAUGUCUGAGGCCUUGAUAUAUUCCUCUUGGGUUUCCAUGGCCGCACCGCAAGGCGAGAUCCUGUUGCACUGAUGUCACACUUGAACGUAAGCACCUCUCUACGGGGAGGGAUUCACAAGAUCCCAAGUCCCUCCAGAGGGUGGAAACAUUUCCGGAGUGUGUCAACGGCUGCCAUCUCCCCUCCGUGCAAAGCAUCUACCAUACAUCAUCAAAGACUACAGCCACCCAGGAUAUGGUCUCU